rfam:Glycine soja cultivar W05 scaffold1063_59, whole genome shotgun sequence.
CAAAUAUCAGUGAUGAGAAGUUUCAAUAAUUUAUCCUUGCACUUUGAUUGCGAGUGGAAAAGCAAAUGGGGAAUGGUAACUAUGAGAUACUA